AUACUGUUAUUUUAUUGUGUAAAAUAUGUCUAUAUUAUAUUUUAUACUGUUAUUUUAUAUUAUUUACAGUAUAUAUUGUAAGAUCUUUAAUAAUGAGAACGUCUAUAAGACAAGAAAUAAUAUGCCAGCGAAAAGCCUAUGAAAUGUCGGGAAGAGUAAAAUGUCCAAGCGCUUUUAGUUGAAAUAGAGAAUUAUAAUUUGGUAUCAGAUAUGCUGGACGAUUUGGAAAGAGAAUAAGGAGGUAGAGAAGAGUCAGCUACAGAAAGAAGAGAAGAGUCAGUUAAAGAAUGAUGCCCGUGCAAAAUUCAACGAAACACAUAAACCACGAUCAAUUUUAGUAGCAAAUAUGAUGGACGAUUUGCGUAGAAGGGUCAUCUACAGAAGAAAGAGAAGAAUCGUCUAGAAUAAAGACUGGUGCAGACAUAAUGAAGACUUCGUGUUUUGAUAAAAUAAUGAAAAAAGAAAAAUAUAUAGAAGCUGAUGAGAUUGAAGACAAUAUUAUAGAUGGAGGAUAUUGUUGUCUGUUUGGGGGUUUUGGUACGAGGGGAUCGAUUUCAGGUUGAAAAGAUUGAACAAGUUUACUACAGAAUCGAAAGAAAGUAACGUAGAGCCAGAUCCUUUAAAUAAAUUUUACAAUCUAUUUAACUAUAACUAUGGAAGACCUGUUGAUCGUGACCACAAAUAUACUCAGUAUACAAAUAACAACAGGAAAAAAGACGACAGAUUGAACGAAAAAGUAACAAAAUCCAGAAGAUCAGUUCGCGUAAGACUGUUAUCAUUGUUCUGCUGUGGAAGAAAAGAGGACUAAAAGAUUGUUAUAGUGAUUGUCAAAAUGUGCAAUAAUUGUAGAUUUAAACUUUUCGUUGUGAUUUUUGUAUACAUGUAAUUUGUAUUUUUUAUAUAAACUCAAACGUGGUCUGUUUCUCUGUCCAUAAAUGUGUAUAUGUUUGCAAGCAUGUUGGGAUAUUUUU